rnacentral:rRNA from 1 species
GAUGAACGCUGGCGGCGUGCCUAAUACAUGCAAGUCGAGCGACCAGACGAGGAGCUUGUUCCUCUGACGUUAGCGGCGGACGGGUGAGUAACACGUGGAUAACCUACCUAUAUGUCUGGGAUAACUUCGGGAAACCGGAGCUAAUACCGGAUCACAUGUUGAACCGCAUGGUUCAACAGUGAAAGACGGUCUUGCUGUCUCUUUUAGAUGGAUCCGCGCCGCAUUAGCUGGUUGGUAAGGUAACGGCUUACCAAGGCAACGAUGCGUAGCCGACCUGAGAGGGUGAUCAGCCACACUGGAACUGAGACACGGUCCAGACUCCUACGGGAGGCAGCAGUAGGGAAUCUUCCGCAAUGGGCGAAAGCCUGACGGAGCAACGCCGCGUGAGUGAAGAAGGUCUUCGGAUCGUAAAACUCUGUUAUUAGGGAAGAACAAAUGUGUAAGUAACUAUGCACGUCUUGACGGUACCUAAUCAGAAAGCCACGGCUAACUACGUG